CCCUCAUUUAUAGUCAUCUGCUAAUUGCUUGAGCUUUGUCGUCUCUUCCUCUUCGCUGGAGGAGACUCAGGCACAAUUAGGUUUCAAUCUUGACUGGCACUUUUGGACACCACAGAACACAGAACACAAAGUGGAGCUUGAGUGACUCUGAUCAUACAUCAUGCUCAGUGAGGGGUGGUUGUACCCUGAAGGUGCGCUCCUGUAUAUUACGUGAACGCUUAACAGGAAAAAAAACCCUACAGUAGUCAGGGAAGGGGAGCAGAAAGUGACCUACAGGUGAAAAGAGGAAAGAAAAAGCUACUUAUGGAGCAUGAUUCAUUUCUCCUUGGAGUGAAUAUGUAAAUACAAGCAGAUGAGCUGUGCUCCAGAAACGCUCAUUUAUCUCUACUGGCUCUCAUGCAAGUUUACUUGACUAGCAAAAAUGUGAAUGGCUAAAAGUGGGGACAUUCAAGGCUUCCAAUUUAAGCCAGUGGCUGAAGGCAGAAAAAUGCUGGUUUUACAGCCAUGACAAGAGAGCUUAGCUCAAAUCAACCUUCCUUCUUCCAAAAGCUGCUCUGUAAAGUCCAGUGACACAAGUAAGCCAUGUGAGACGAGGAAGGUGAUGCCAAAGG